AGGUUCUAACCCCAACUGCUGUCAGUUCAUACAUUUUGACAGCAGUUGGGGUUAGGAACUGACUCAGUUUAGCUUCAAACGAAAACCACAUUAAAAUUUAUUUAAAAGCGCGUAGAACAAUCUAUCAAUCAUCCCUCCAUCCCGAUAACGCUUCGGGAUUCAAAAUAAAUUCUGUAUGGAUUCCGUGCAGCUUUUUGUUGCUAUCAACAUUCGAAGUUACAGCAGUAGAUAAUCAAUGUCGGCGCCGGUAGUUGAGUGGUAAGCGGGGCCACUACUCGCCCCUCAAUCCCAGCCGAGGUCAUUAAGUUUUUUCUGAGGUGAAAGAAGUCAUUUAAAUCUCGGUGAUAUAAACCAUGCUCUCUAUCAUGGGCAUUGUAUUACAGGACCGGAACUCGAAUGCUGCGGUGGCAAGUAAUACGGCCGGUGGACAACAAGGAAUGCCCCUCGAUAAUGCGGAGUAUAGUCUAACCAACGUCUCAAACAUUUCAAAUGUCUCUUGACCUUACAGACGUGAGCUGAAAAUCGACCAGUCCAAUCACAUACCCUUUCUCCAUGAGCCCAACAUAGUGACGAGGAAGAGUAAGGAUUCAAGUAUGGUGCCCAGUACAUAAACUCUUUUUUUGGUAUGCAUAGUGGAGGAGGUGGCCAUUAGGAAGUGAUCAAAUCUCUAGAAACGACGUUAAUAUUUGUGACUGGGGAUUAUGUCCUCGCUGAUGCUAUUGUUUUACUCAGCUAUCUAUAUUUGGAGAAGAUACUAGGAGCGUACACUGUUUCCUUUCGUUACCUGAUGACCUGUUAUACGAAGUUUUAGAGUACUAAUCUAUUCAUUAAUCCACUGGCAGGAUCUACUUCAUACAAAGCCAUCGUACUUUUGUUUUAUUAGUGAUAUAUGUAUUGCCUAUAAUCGGCAGUCAAUCCAAUGUGAAUAGGAAUUCCCAUAGAACAUAGAAAAAAUAAUUUGGCACCAUUAUUUUUUCAACAUAUUUUGGACACCAUUUUUUUAUACUUCUGAGCAAAACUUUACAAAUGAACCAUUUUAAAUACAUAAAAUGAUUCUUCCAAAUUUGGAGGAAUUGGCACCAAAGGAGACAAAUGUAUGAAAAGCUUCUUAAAUAAGGAGCAGUCCAAAUUAGGCUUAUUACUCUA